GCCGGUGCCGGCAUAGGCCGAGGCGAAGAGGAAGUCGUUCCAGAUAUUGG
rnacentral:snoRNA from 1 species